GGUCAUUUAGAGNAAGUAAAAGUCGUAACAAGGUCUCCGUUGGUGAACCAGCGGAGGGAUCAUUACCGAGUUUACAACUCCCAAACCCCUGUGAACAUACCUUUAUGUUGCCUCGGCGGAUCAGCCCGCGCCCCGUAAAACGGGCGGCCCGCCGCAGGAAACCCUAAACUCUGUUUUUAGUGGAACUUCUGAGUAUAAAAAACAAAUAAAUCAAAACUUUCAACAACGGAUCUCUUGGUUCUGGCAUCGAUGAAGAACGCAGCAAAAUGCGAUAAGUAAUGUGAAUUGCAGAAUUCAGUGAAUCAUCGAAUCUUUGAACGCACAUUGCGCCCGCCAGUAUUCUGGCGGGCAUGCCUGUUCGAGCGUCAUUUCAACCCUCAAGCCCAGCUUGGUGUUGGGAUCUGUGUGCAAACACAGUCCCCAAAUUGAUNGGCGGUCACGUCGAGCUUCCAUAGCGUAGUAAUUUACNCAUCGUUACUGGUAAUCGUCGCGGCCACGCCGUUAANCCCCAACUUCUGAAUGUUGACC
rnacentral:rRNA from 1 species